rnacentral:rRNA from 1 species
GAUGAACGCUAGCGGGAGGCCUAACACAUGCAAGCCGAGCGGUAGAAUCUUUUCGGAGAUUUGAGAGCGGCGUACGGGUGAGGAACACGUGUGCAACCUGCCUUUAUCUGGGAGAUAGCCUUUCGAAAGGAAGAUUAAUAUCCCAUAAUAUAUUGAGUGGCAUCACUUAAUAUUGAAAGCUCCGGCGGAUAGAGAUGGGCACGCGCGAGAUUAGAUAGUUGGUGAGGUAACGGCUCACCAAGUCUACGAUCUUUAGGGGGCCUGAGAGGGUGAUCCCCCACACUGGUACUUAGACACGGACCAGACUCCUACGGGAGGCAGCAGUGAGGAAUAUUGGACAAUGGGUGCAAGCCUGAUCCAGCCAUCCCGCGUGAAGGAUUAAGGUCCUAUGGAUUGUAAACUUCUUUUAUACAGGGAUAAACCUCUCCUCGUGAGGAGAGCUGAAGGUACUGUAUGAAUAAGCACCGGCUAACUCCGUGCCAGCCGCCGCAGUAA